rnacentral:rRNA from 1 species
CCUACGGGUGGCAGCAGUGGGGAAUAUUGGGCAAUGGGCGAACGCCUGAACCAGCCACGCCGCGUGAGGGAAGACGGCUUUCGGGUUGUAAACUUCUUUUGACAGGGAAGAGCAGCAGACGGUACCUGUCGAAUCAGCCACGGCUAACUACGUGCCAGCAGCCGCGGUCAUACGUAGGAGGCAAGCGUUGUCCGGGUUUACUGGGGGUAAAGGGCGUGUAGCCGGGCUGACAAGUCAGAUGUGAAAUCCGGGGGCUCAACCCCCGAACUGCAUUUGAAACUGUUGGUCUUGAGUAUCGGAGAGGCAGGCGGAAUUCGUAGUGUAGCGGUGAAAUGCGUAGAUAUUAGGAGGAACACCAGUGGCGAAGGCGGCCUGCUGGACGACAACUGACGGUGAGGCGCGAAAGCGUGGGGAGCAAACAGGAUUAGAUACCCGAGUAGUC